GUUUCAAUUCCUCACAGGCAGACUAUCGGCAAUGGAAGAUAUUCGGAAUGCGUUUGGAUCCGAAAG
rnacentral:sRNA from 1 species